rnacentral:lncRNA from 1 species
UUGGUUUGUUAUAAUUGUUUAAACUUAUAUGGAAGUGUUUUUAACCAUGUUGUGUAUUUGAAGAUUUGUUCAUUUUAAGGGGAGACUAUGCCGAAAGUUUUUUUUGCUCGCACAAAAUUGGUAAUAUCUUUAUCGACUUAUUUUUUAUGCUCUUGUUUCGCUUGCAUCUAUCUAUUUUUUAUGAAAGGGGAGAUAAAUAUGACAUGUUUUUGGAUAAUAUCAUUUUGGUUAAAUUUUUUAAUUGGCCAUAUAUUUAGG